ACCUAGGAAGACUGCAAAGAGUGUUUGCCUGAGAAAAGCAAAAGGAAAAUCACCAGUGGGCUUUCACAGCACAAGAGAGCAGCCUCAUCAAUUGCACAGCUUAUGUGGGGGAAAAUACCAGUUAGUGGGAUCAGCAUUGUGGUCACCUGCCUGGUCACUGUCACCACUCCCUGAAUCGUGUAUUCCUUGAUGAGAUGAACCUUGUUGUCUAACUAAAGGAAACCAGGAAAUAUGGAACAGUUAACUCAGAAACUCAGAGAAGUUUAGACUGAACAUUCCAGGCGCAGCUGCAAUGCCUCAGAAGAACUACUGCGGAAUUCCCUCCAUCAUGGCUCUGAUGAUUCCU